GGAUGCGAGGGCGGUCUGGCUGUGCCGUCUGUCACCUCACUGAUCACCAGGGCUGCUUCAGCUGAUGUGGCAGGCUAGGGGGGUGUCCCCUUCCUCCCUCACCGCUCCGUGUGCGUCCCUCCCAACCUUCCCCGACAGAGACCCUACAGUUCAUCAGGCAGGGGUACAGGGUAGCUGCGCGUCCCGCUAGAAACAGGCUCAACCAUUCUGUGGUCCCAGAUCAUGUUUCUCACCUCCUCUUCAUUUGCAUAAAAAGUCUCUGAGCUACUUCUUUCU
rnacentral:snRNA from 1 species